AAUCAACUUUAAAAAGGAAAGCUUUGUCUUGGCUCUCCGUUUUGGAGGUUUCAGUCCCUGGUCAGUAGGGUGCAUUGCUUUGGGGCCUGUGGCAAGGCAGCAGAUCAUGCGGGGAGGGCAUGGUGGAGACGAAGCUGCUGACCUCAUGGUGGGAGGAAAGUGAAACAGGGAGAAAGGACCUGAGGUCCUACCCUUCAAGGGUACACCCUCAGCCACCUAACUUCCUUCCACUAGAUAUUUCUUCUGAAGUCUCUACCACCUCUCGGUAGCACCGUGGUCUGGGGAUCAAGCUUUUAACACACAGGCCUUUGGGGGCCACCUCCUCAAACCCCGACACUUAACUUAUAUGGGGCUUUGCGAACAGAUAGGAGCCGGGUUCAAGAUCCUGCCACCUCCUCCGUGUCUGCAGGCAGUUGCUGCCUUUAUAGGGGACGUGCUGAAGCAGAACAGAAGAAGAGGAAAGAACUCCGUUCCCAAAAGGCCUUAAAAGGUGAUCGAAUCUCUAAUCAAACCCCCACUUUUAGAUCCAAUCUUUGGAGAUAGAUUUACGGCACUUCAUAAAAGUUCCUUAGUUUUAUUAUUUUCCUUCCCAGGUUUAAAUCCAGUAAGUGUUUAACCACAUUGGGCUGCCGAUUUCCAGCUUUCUCCUGAUUGUGUUAAGUCCGUGAGAAUUUCAUUUAAGUGCUUUCAUUUUUCCAUUUCUCCACUUGUUUUUAUCAAACCAUGGAGGCAAAAUGCAAUAAAAAGAUUUUCAAAUAAUUGCAGAGACAUCACUGUACAGAUAAAAACGGCAACAUGGCACCACUCAGCUGCAGGCUCACGGCACCACCAAGCAAGAGCCCCAAGUGCUCAGGGUUCCCUCGGAUUGGUGAGGAUCUGUCGGAUAAACGUCAGUGGAGAGGCACCGGUGUAAAAUGUGAGAAUGGAUUGAGUGUGCAGAGAAUUUCAGUCCGUGUAAGUUGAAAAUCACUAGUAAUUACGACAAGGUGAGAUAUAGGCACCGGGUCAUGCUGUAUGUUUUUCUCUUCUUAAUUAGAUUAUAAAUACUUCAAGGGGAAGGAAGAAUUAUUUUUAAAA
rnacentral:lncRNA from 1 species